CUCGAUUACUUUCCUCGGUUCCUCGAUUACGUUUUUUGUUGCCACCGAUCACAGAAAGUUUAUAAUGUUCAAAGCAUAUAAGCAUUUUAUGAGCAAGCCAGAAAAUGACAAACUGUCUGUGUUUCAAAAAAUUGUGUUUAACAAUGACGAUUCGGUUUGGACAUACAUUUUCUCUGUUUGGCAAUGGCUGACUCUUAAACUACAGAAC